rfam:Phaeobacter sp. CECT 5382 genome assembly, contig: 0011
GCACCUGUAGCUCAGCUGGAUAGAGCGCUGCCCUCCGAAGGCAGAGGCCAGAGGUUCGAAUCCUCUCAGGUGCA